rnacentral:rRNA from 1 species
GAUUAACGCUAGCGGCAGGCAUAAUACAUGCAAGUUGAACGGGAUAAGCUGUAGCAAUAUGGCUUUGAGAGUAGCGCACGGGUGCGUAACACGUAUGCAACCUGCCCUUUACUGGGGAAUAGCCUCUCGAAAGAGAGAUUAAUACCCCAUAACAUAUUUGAUAGGCAUCUAUUAAAUAUUAAAGCUGAGGCGGUAAAGGAUGGGCAUGCGGCUGAUUAGGUAGUUGGUGAGGUAACGGCUCACCAAGCCAACGAUCAGUAGGGGGUCUGAGAGGAUGUCCCCCCACACUGGUACUGAGACACGGACCAGACUCCUACGGGAGGCAGCAGUAGGGAAUAUUGGACAAUGGGGGCAACCCUGAUCCAGCCAUGCCGCGUGCAGGAAGAAGGCCCUAUGGGUCGUAAACUGCUUUUGUACGGGAAGAAACCUCACUACGUGUAGUGAGUUGACGGUACCGUGAGAAUAAGGAUCGGCUAACUCUGUGCCAGCAGCCGCUGUAAGAC